rnacentral:rRNA from 1 species
AUUGAACGCUGGCGGCAUGCCUUACACAUGCAAGUCGAACGGCAGCACGGGGGCAACCCUGGUGGCGAGUGGCGAACGGGUGAGUAAUGCAUCGGAACGUGCCCAGUAGUGGGGGAUAACUAGUCGAAAGAUUAGCUAAUACCGCAUACGACCUACGGGUGAAAGGCGGGGGAUUCGCAAGAACCUCGCGCUAUCGGAGCGGCCGAUGUCUGAUUAGCUAGUUGGACGGGGAAAAGCCCACCAAGGCUUCGAUCAGUAGCUGGUCUGAGAGGACGACCAGCCACACUGGGACUGAGACACGGCCCAGACUCCUACGGGAGGCAGCAGUGGGGAAUUUUGGACAAUGGGCGCAAGCCUGAUCCAGCCAUGCCGCGUGCGGGAAGAAGGCCU